CCUACGGGUGACAGCAGUGAGGAAUAUUGGUCAAUGGACGAGAGUCUGAACCAGUCAAGUAGCGUGAAGGAUGACUGCCCUAUGGGUUGUAAACUUCUUUUAUAUGGGAAUAAAAUGUUCCACGUGUGGGAUUUUGUAUGUACCAUCUGAAUAAGGAUCGGCUAACUCCGUGCCAGCAGCCGCGGUAAUACGGAGGAUCCGAGCGUUAUCCGGAUUUAUUGGGUUUAAAGGGAGCGUAGGUGGAUUGUUAAGUCAGUUGUGAAAGUUUGCGGCUCAACCGUAAAAUUGCAGUUGAAACUGGCAGUCUUGAGUACAGUAGAGGUGGGCGGAAUUCGUGGUGUAGCGGUGAAAUGCUUAGAUAUCACGAAGAACUCCGAUUGCGAAGGCAGUUCACUGGACUGCAACUGACACUGAGGCUCGAAAGUGUGGGUAUCAAACAGGAUUAGAUACCCCAGUAGUC
rnacentral:rRNA from 1 species